UUGGUUGCAGAAUUUAUAUUGUAACUUGCAUAUUUAUUUAGUUGAGUUUAAUCUAAGUUUAUAUCUGAUGUGUUAGUAUUAUUUUAGAAUUUACUGUUUUAGACACGUGGCAUGUGGUAUCCCACUACACUUGGUAUAAGCUGUCAUACUACACGUGGCAUGUGGUAUCCCACUAAUUAGCUAUUUUAAACAUGUGACAAGUGGUAUGACACUGUAUUGAUGUAUGUGAAAUGUAUAGUCUUUCAGUUAUCAGAUAAUGUCAAGGAGUUGACAGCAUGGUGUCCGAUUUAAAGUGCGAACCUGUGUACGAGUAACAACAGUAUUCAAAACCAAAACCAAUUUAAACCAACCAAACCAAAACUCUUGGCAUUGGUUUAUUUUAAACACCUAUUAUAUAUAUGUGUGUUUUUUGUAUAAAUGUACUAGCUUGAGU
rnacentral:lncRNA from 1 species